AUUACAGAACACCCAUUAAAUUUAAAUGUCAUAUAAACAAUAAAUAAUGUUUUAGUGUAAGUAUGUCCCCAUGUAGUAUUUGGAACAUACUUAUACUAAAAAAUUAUUUGUUUUUUAUCUGAAAUUCAAUUUUAACUGAGAGUCCUGUAUUUU
rnacentral:miRNA from 1 species